rnacentral:rRNA from 1 species
GUCGAGAAUUUUUCACAAUGGGCGCAAGCCUGAUGGAGCGACGCCGCGUGGGGGAUGAAGGGCUUCGGCCCGUAAACCCCUGUCAUUUGCGAACAAACCUUUCUUGAUAACACCAGGAAAGCUGAUUGUAGCGAAAGAGGAAGGGACGGCUAACUCUGUGCCAGCAGCCGCGGUAAUACAGAGGUCCCAAGCGUUGUUCGGAUUCACUGGGCGUAAAGGGUGCGUAGGUGGUGAGGUAAGUCGGAUGUGAAAUCUCUGAGCUCAACUCAGAAAUGGCAUUGGAAACUACCUCGCUUGAGGAUUGGAGGGGGGACUGGAAUUCUCGGUGUAGCAGUGAAAUGCGUAGAGAUCGAGAGGAACACCAGUGGCGAAGGCGAGUCCCUGGACAAUACCUGACGCUGAGGCACGAAAGCUAGGGGAGCAAACAGGAUUAGAUACCCCAGUAGUCC